rnacentral:rRNA from 1 species
ACGUAGGGUGCGAGCGUUAAUCGGAAUUACUGGGCGUAAAGCGUGCGCAGGCGGUCUUGCAAGACAGGUGUGAAAUCCCCGGGCUUAACCUGUGAACUGCACUUGUGACUGCAAGGCUGGAGUACGGCAGAGGGGGAUGGAAUUCCGCGUGUAGCAGUGAAAUGCGUAGAUAUGCGGAGGAACACCGAUGGCGAAGGCAAUCCCCUGGGCCUGUACUGACGCUCAUGCACGAAAGCGUGGGGAGCAAACAGGAUUAGAUACCCUGGUAGUCCACGCCCUAAACGAUGUCUACUGGUUGUUGGGGGUUUGACACUCUCAGUAACGAAGCUAACGCGUGAAGUCGACCGCCUGGGGAGUACGGCCGCAAGGUUA